GACGAACGCUGGCGGCGUGCUUAACACAUGCAAGUCGAACGGAAAGGCCCUGCUUUUGUGGGGUGCUCGAGUGGCGAACGGGUGAGUAACACGUGAGUAACCUGCCCUUGACUUUGGGAUAACUUCAGGAAACUGGGGCUAAUACCGGAUAGGAGCUCCUGCUGCAUGGUGGGGGUUGGAAAGUUUCGGCGGUUGGGGUUGGACUCGCGGCUUAUCAGCUUGUUGGUGGGGUAGUGGCUUACCAAGGCUUUGACGGGUAGCCGGCCUGAGAGGGUGACCGGCCACAUUGGGACUGAGAUACGGCCCAGACUCCUACGGUAGGCAGCAGGGGGGAGUAUUGCCCAAUGGGCGGAAGCCUGAUGCAGCAACGCCGCGUGCGGGAUGACGGCCUUCGGGUUGUAAAACGCUUUCGCCUGUGACGAAGCGUGAGUGACGGUAAUGGGUAAAGAAGCACCGGCUAACUACGUG
rnacentral:rRNA from 1 species